rnacentral:lncRNA from 1 species
UCCAUUCUCAUUUCAAUUCUAACAUUACAAAUUGAUUUGAAAUAUAACAACAACCCCGCACAAUUUGAUUCAUUAAUAGAUGAUGCAAAUUACAGUAAAACAUAACAUCAACAACAACCCCAAUAUUACAAUGGCAAUCACAAAAAAAUUUCAUUGUUUUUCAGUUCAUCAUUCCUCUUCAACAAAGUUCGUAUAAUCUUCCUCUGUCUUACUCAAAGCUUCACCUUCACGUGUUGCUGCAGUACAUAUGGUCUUCAUCUCCAACAAAGGUACUUUAGGGUUCCAAACGAAAUAGCAGGACAAGAGAAAUAGAACAACAAAACUUGAGAUUGAUUCACGAUAGAAAUCGAACAAGAGACCUUACAAUUGAUUUACAGUCGAAAUCGAUCAAAGUUUUGCAAUUGAGAAGAGAGAAAUUUUUGGAAUUGAGAAGAGAGAAGAAACAGUUUUGCGUGUUAUGUGUUUUUUUUUUGUUGCAGGUUACCUCACGUGCUUCUUCC